rnacentral:rRNA from 1 species
AAUUGACGGGGCCCGCACAAGCGGUGGAGCAUGUUGGUUUAAUUCGAAGCAACGCGAAGAACCUUUACCAGGUCUUGACAUCCCGAUGCUAUUUCUAGAGAUAGAAGUUACUUCGGUACAUCGGUGACAGGUGGUGCAUGGUUGUCGUCAGCUCGUGUCGUGAGAUGUUGGGUUAAGUCCCGCAACGAGCGCAACCCCUAUUGUUAGUUGCCAUCAUUCAGUUGGGCACUCUAGCGAGACUGCCGGUAAUAAACCGGAGGAAGGUGGGAAUGACGUCAAAUCAUCAUGCCCCUUAUGACCUGGGCUACACACGUGCUACAAUGGUUGGUACAACGAGUUGCGAGUCGGUGACGGCGAGCUAAUCUCUUAAAGCCAAUCUCAGUUCGGAUUGUAGGCUGCAACUCGCCUACAUGAAGUCGGAAUCGCUAGUAAUCGCGGAUCAGCACGCCGCGGUGAAUACGUUCCCGGGCCUU